UGGGGAAUAUUGCACAAUGGGCGCAAGCCUGAUGCGGCCAUGCCGCGUGUGUGAAGAAGGCCUUCGGGUUGUAAAGCACUUUCAGCGAGGAGGAAGGUGGUGAACUUAAUACGUUCAUCAAUUGACGUUACUCGCAGAAGAAGCACCGGCUAACUCCGUGCCAGCACCGCGGUAAUACGGAGGGUGCAAGCGUUAAUCGGAAUUACUGGGCGUAAAGCGCNCGCAGGCGGUUUGUUAAGUCAGAUGUGAAAUCCCCGGGCUCAACCUGGGAACUGCAUUUGAAACUGGCAAGCUAGAGUCUCGUAGAGGGGGGUAGAAUUCCAGGUGUAGCGGUGAAAUGCGUAGAGAUCUGGAGGAAUACCGGUGGCGAAGGCGGCCCCCUGGACGAAGACUGACGCUCAGGUGCGAAAGCGUGGGGCAGCAAACAGGAUUAGAUACCCUGGUAGUCCACGCUGUAAACGAUGUCGAUUUGGAGGUUGUGCCCUUGAGGCGUGGCUUCCGGAGCUAACGCGUUAAAUCGACCGCCUGGGGAGUACGGCCGCAAGGUUAAAACUUAAAGGAAUUGAC
rnacentral:rRNA from 1 species